rnacentral:rRNA from 1 species
GACGAACGCUGGCGGCGUGCCUAAUACAUGCAAGUCGAGCGGACCGAAGGGAGCUUGCUCCUUUAGGUUAGCGGCGGACGGGUGAGUAACACAUGGGCAACCUGCCCUGCAGACUGGGAUAACUCCGGGAAACCGGAGCUAAUACCGGAUAACACCGAAAACCGCAUGGUUUUCGGUUGAAAGGCGGCUUUUAGCUGUCACUGCAGGAUGGGCCCGGGGCGCAUUAGCUAGUUGGUGAGGUAACGGCUCACCAAGGCGACGAUGCGUAGCCGACCUGAGAGGGUGACCGGCCACACUGGGACUGAGACACGGCCCAGACUCCUACGGGAGGCAGCAGUAGGGAAUCUUCCGCAAUGGACGAAAGUCUGACGGAGCAACGCCGCGUGAGCGAAGAAGGUCUUCGGAUCGUAAAGCUCUGUUGUCAGGGAAGAACAAGUACCGUUCGAACAGGGCGGUACCUUGACGGUACCUGACGAGGAAGCCACGGCUAACUACGUGCCAGCCGCCGCGGUAA